AAAAUGUUAAAGUUCUUAUUUCAUGGUAUAACUUUGGUAUGCUUGGACCUAGAGUCUUCAAACUUGACAUGAAGGUUGGCCAGGAUUAACAGAUGACCACUGGUCAUUUCAAGGUCAUUAAUUUGAAGGUGAAGGUCACUGUGACCUUCAAUAUAAAAAUGUUAAAGUUGUUAUAACUUUGGUAUGCUUGGACCUAGAGUCUUGAAACUUGACAUGAAGGUUGGCCAGAACUAGUAAGUAACCACUGGACAUUUCAAGGUCAUUCAUUUGAAGGUCAAGGUCACUGUGACCUUGAAUGUAAAAAUGUUAAAGUUGUUAUAACUUUGGUAUGCUUGGACCUAGAGUCUUGAAACUUGACAUGAAGGUUGGCCAGAACUAGUAAGUAACCACUGGACAUUUCAAGGUCAUUCAUUUGAAGGUCAAGGUCACUGUGACCUUGAAUGUAAAAAUGUUAAAGUUCUUAUUUCAUGUUAUAACUUUGGUAUGCUUGUACCUAGAGUCUUCAAACUUGAAAUAAAGAUUGGCCAGUACUAGAAGAUGACCACUGGUCAUUUCAAUGUCAUUCAUUUGAAGGUCAAGGUCACUGUGACCUUAAAUGUUAAAAUGUUAAAAUUGUUAUAACUUUGGUAUGCUUGGACAUAGAGUCUUCAAACUUGACAUGAAGGUUUGCAAGCACACUUAGAUGACCACUGGUCAUUUCAAGGUCAUUCAAAACAUAACACAAGGUUUGCUCAUGCCUUGAAAACUACUUACAUUUCAUUUUGACCUUUGAACAAUAUUUCAGUAAUUUAAGUAUUGCAUUGACAAAAACACGAAAGGUACUUUCCUGUCAUUUAAAUCAAAAAUCCGGCUUCAAUGCGGUCAUCUCCGACCGCGGAACUCUUGUUUAUAUUUAGAAUGAUGUCUAUGUGAUAAAACAUUUGACUUGUGUUUAAAGGGAUCUUUUCACGGUUUGGUAAAUUGACAAAAUUGAAAAAUGUUUUUUCAGAUUCGCAAAUUUUCGGUUGAGUUAUGAUAUUUGUGAGGAAACAGUAUUACUGAACAUUUGCCAUGGUCUAAUAUAGCCAUUAUAUGCAUCUUUUGACGAUUAAAAAAACCCUAAAAAUUAUAAAGCUUUGCAACGCGAAACGAUUGAAUAAUUUGGAGAGUUCUGUUGUUGUCGUUUAAAUUUGUGAAACUACGAAGAUUGCUUAUAUAACGUAUAAAAAACGCAUCUUUGUAUGCUUGGCAGGAUAGCUCAGUUGGCUUAUGCGUUUUUACUUCAGGAUUCCGGGGGUCACUGGUUGGAGCCCUGAUGCGGGCUACUUUUUUUCCCCUUUUUUAAAUUUUAUUUUUGAUUUUUUACUGGAGCUUUUAAAAUUUAAAAUUUUUACAUUUACAUUUAUCAAUACAAAGCAUUAAAUGACAAACUUGAAAACAUGCCAAAAUAUGUGAAAAGGCCCCUUUAAGAUGAGCUGUGCUUAGCCUGUGGUUGUUUGAAUGAAAAUGCUGUUGGUGUGAUUUGUUGUGAAAAUUUAAGUAGGUUUGCUCAGCUAAUGAUGAUAUAUCAUACAGUUUAUCAACUACAUGCGAAUGUAAGUAUAAAAUACAAAUGUACAUGUAAUUAAUUAAGAUAUUAAAAAUCAUCAGUGUC